rnacentral:SRP_RNA from 11 species
GGGGGGACCUCAGGGAGCUUCGUCUGGUGUUCUGCCGCUGCCUCCCCCUCCUCUGGAGACGCGGCGCCUCCCCCCGGGGAGGGAGACGAAGAGGGCCCCCCAGCCUGAAGAGGAAGAGAGGCCAGUUGAGCCGUCAGAAACCAGUCAGGCA